rnacentral:rRNA from 1 species
CAGCAGCCACGGGAAUACAGAGGGUGCGAGCGUUAAUCGGAUUUACUGGGCGUAAAGCGUGCGCAGGCGGUUAUAUAAGACAGAUGUGAAAUCCCCGGGCUCAACCUGGGAACUGCAUUUGUGACUGUAUAGCUAGAGUACGGCAGAGGGGGAUGGAAUUCCGCGUGUAGCAGUGAAAUGCGUAGAUAUGCGGAGGAACACCGAUGGCGAAGGCAAUCCCCUGGGCCUGUACUGACGCUCAUGCACGAAAGCGUGGGGAGCAAACAGGAUUAGAUACCCCAGUAGUCCCUGUCUCUUAUAC